CUCAACCUUGGAAUUGCCUUCAAAACUGAUCGUCUCGAGGCCGGGAGAGGGCAGUGGAAUUCCCAGUGUAGAGGUGAAAUUCGUAGAUAUUGGGAAGAACACCGGUGGCGAAGGCGGCUGCCUGGCCCGGACCUGACGCUGAGGUGCGAAAGCGUGGGGAGCGAACAGGAUUAGAUACCCUGGUAGUCCACGCCGUAAACGAUGGGUGCUAGGUGUCGGAGGACUUAGUUCUUCGGUGCCGCAGCUAACGCGUUAAGCACCCCGCCUGGGGAGUACGGCCGCAAGGCUAAAACUCAAAGGAAUUGACGGGGGCCCGCACAGGCGGUGGAGCAUGUGGUUUAAUUCGAAGCAACGCGAAGAACCUUACCAGCCCUUGACAUCCCGGUCUCGAGGCGUGGAGACACACCUCUUCAGUUCGGCUGGACC
rnacentral:rRNA from 1 species